rnacentral:rRNA from 1 species
UACGUAGGGCGCAAGCGUUGUCCGGAAUUAUUGGGCGUAAAGAGCUCGUAGGCGGUUUGUCGCGUCUGGUGUGAAAACUCGAGGCUCAACCUCGAGCUUGCAUCGGGUACGGGCAGACUAGAGCGCGAGAGAGGAGGGUGGAAUUCCUGGUGUAGCGGUGAAAUGCGUAGAUAUCAGGAGGAACACCGGCGGCGAAAGGCGGCCCUCUGGCUCGUUGCUGACGCUGAAACGCGAAAGCGUGGGGAGCAAACAGGG